AUUCCCCUAGUAACGGCGAGUGAAGCGGGAACAGCUCAAAUUUGAAAUCUGGCCCUCGGGUCCGAGUUGUAAUUUGCAGAGGAUGCUUUUGGCGCGGUGCCUUCCGAGUUCCCUGGAACGGGACGCCUUAGAGGGUGAGAGCCCCGUACGGUUGGCCACCAAGCCUGUGUAAAGCUCCUUCGACGAGUCGAGUAGUUUGGGAAUGCUGCUCAAAACGGGAGGUAUAUUUCUUCUAAAGCUAAAUACUGGCCAGAGACCGAUAGCGCACAAGUAGAGUGAUCGAAAGAUGAAAAGCACUUUGAAAAGAGGGUUAAAUAGCACGUGAAAUUGUUGAAAGGGAAGGGUUUAUGACCAGACUUUUUCUAGGGGGAUCAUCCGGUGUUCUCACCGGUGCACUUCCCCUAGUUGAGGCCAGCAUCGGUUUCUGCCGGGGGAUAAAAGCUUCGGGAAUGUGGCUCCUUCGGGAGUGUUAUAGCCCGUUGUAUAAUACCCUGGCGGGGACCGAGGUUCGCGCAUUCGCAAGGAUGCUGGCGUAAUGGUUAUUAACCACCCGUCUUGAAACACGGACCAAGGAGUCGAACAUUUGUGCGAGUGUUUGGGUGUUAAACCCUCACGCGUAAUGAAAGUGAACGGAGGUGAGAGCCUUUAGGGGUGCAUCAUCGACCGAUCCUGAUGUCUUCGGAUGGAUUUGAGUAGGAGCAUCACUGUUCGGACCCGAAAGAUGGUGAACUAUGCGUGGAUAGGGUGAAGCCAGAGGAAACUCUGGUGGAGGCUCGCAGCGGUUCUGACGUGCAAAUCGAUCGUCAAAUCUGCGCAUGGGGGCGAAAGACUAAUCGAACCAUCUAGUAGCU
rnacentral:rRNA from 1 species